GAUGAACGCUGGCGGCGUGCCUAAUACAUGCAAGUCGAGCGAAUGGAUUAAGAGCUUGCUCUUAUGAAGUUAGCGGCGGACGGGUGAGUAACACGUGGGUAACCUGCCCAUAAGACUGGGAUAACUCCGGGAAACCGGGGCUAAUACCGGAUAACAUUUUGAACCGCAUGGUUCGAAAUUGAAAGGCGGCUUCGGCUGUCACUUAUGGAUGGACCCGCGUCGCAUUAGCUAGUUGGUGAGGUAACGGCUCACCAAGGCAACGAUGCGUAGCCGACCGGGGAGGGUGAUCGGCAACACUGGGACUGAGACGAGGCCCAGACUCCUACGGGAGGCAGCAGUAGGGAAUCUUCCGCAAUGGACGAAAGUCUGACGGAGCAACGCCGCGUGAGUGAUGAAGGCUUUCGGGUCGUAAAACUCUGUUGUUAGGGAAGAACAAGUGCUAGUUGAAUAAGCUGGCACCUUGACGGUACCUAACCAGAAAGCCACGGCUAACUACGUGCCAGCAGCCGCCGUAA
rnacentral:rRNA from 1 species